rnacentral:rRNA from 1 species
UACGGGGGGGGUAAGCGUUGUUCGGAAUUACUGGGCGUAAAGGGCUCGUAGGCGGCCAACUAAGUCAUACGUGAAAUCCCUCAGCUUAACUGGGGAACUGCGUGUGAUACUGGAUAGCUUGGAUUUGGGAGAGGGAUGCGGAAUUCCAGGUGUAGCGGUGAAAUGCGUAGAUAUCUGGAGGAACACCGGUGGCGAAGGCGGCAUCCUGGACCAAUAUUGACGCUGAGGAGCGAAAGCCAGGGGAGCAAACGGG